CACUUUGAGUUACGAUAAUUACUAUAUUAAUUUACAAGAUUAUAGUAACUCUUUACUAAGUAGUUUACUAUAGCAUUACGGUAAAUAUCUUCACGUGUUAUAGUAAUCCAACUAUUUUAAAUAUGUAUACAUAUUAUCAUAAAUUAGUAAAUAAAAUUAUCGUAAAUGGAGGUG
rnacentral:pre_miRNA from 1 species